rnacentral:lncRNA from 1 species
GAAAAUGUCCCCGCUCGGGGCUGCUCUGCCAUCUGGGCCGCGGGCUGGGCGCGCGGCUCCCGCCCCCAGCUCCUUGGCAGAGGCGCCGGAGGAAGGGGCGCCGCGAAGGGCCGUCAUCUUGUUGGAAAAGAAUGCAGAAAUGCCCCCCGAAGGCUGAAUGAGCGCCACUUCCACACUCAGGGCGGGGGAGGCCGGGGGACGUGGGAGCGGCGCACCAGGAGCAAGGCGUCCCUGGUGACAGCGCGUCCCAAGGGCUCUCCCUUUUCCCAGAGCGCAUUCCAAAGGCCGACUCCUUUGCAGGCUCCACGAGCCCCAUUCGCGGUGGAGAGGGGCGUUCCAGGCUGCAGGACCCUUAGAGAUGAGAGUAUGAAAGAGAAAAUACAUACUCUGGAAUCCAUUGGUCCUACCCCACUUAUUCAGAAUAAUUCAAUUAAAAACAACACACAUCAUAUAGGAAUGUCAACAGUGAAGGCAACUUCCCAUGAAAAAAAUUAUGACAAAGUAUAUUUCCUGGCGCUGUGUCAAGCUCUCAGGAGUGAAUAUAUGGAUAGGCUGUUACUUCUACCUGGGAUGCUGUCACUGCCCAUCACACACUGUUGA